rnacentral:lncRNA from 1 species
GGAAGUUGGUUGUGGAGGAAGAAUGGCAAAGCAAGAUAAAGCCACGUUCUUUCCCAGCUUCUGCCUAGAUAAAGGGAAAUGUGCUAGGGAUUUCUUCUUUUGCCUGGAGCUGGGACCUGACUCCUCCCUGCCCCUGGAGUGGUGCAGAAAAGAAAAAGAAGAAAAGAAGAGCCAGGAGGAUAGGUUGUUCAGUUUACUACCGGAGACCUGACUGUGACAGACCACCAAGAAAACAAAAUUUAUAAAGAGAGUAAAGAAGACCUUCUGCAGCAUCAGCAAGUCUCUCCUUUUUUCUUCAGAGUUACGUAGGAUAACUUAGCCAGAACUUAUUGAUGUCUGCAUGUUCAGUGGACUCGGGAACGACUGGGAGAUGCGGAAACAUACUCUUUGGAAGAAACAGAAGAGGAGGCAUUUCAAAGAUCCUGCAGGUGACAAAGGUCCUUGUAAAACAUACAGGUACGGCUGCUCUGCUCUGGUUUUGCUUCAGAGGAAGAACAAACCUUGAGGAAAAUGGAAAAGGAGCACUGCAUGUUUCUGCUGCCUCUCCUGACUCCAGGGCCAAUGAAGGUUGUACCAUUUUUGAGAACCACCCUAGAAUGCCUACAAAACUGAGCAUGUUUAGAGGCAUCUCUUGCCAACAAAUCUGUGCACUUGGUUUUUUCCAUGGACUGUAG